UUGAUCCUGGCUCAGAUUGAACGCUGGCGGCAUGCCUUACACAUGCAAGUCGAACGGCAGCACGGAGCUUGCUCUGGUGGCGAGUGGCGAACGGGUGAGUAAUAUAUCGGAACGUACCCUGGAGUGGGGGAUAACGUAGCGAAAGUUACGCUAAUACCGCAUACGAUCUAAGGAUGAAAGUGGGGGAUCGCAAGACCUCAUGCUCGUGGAGCGGCCGAUAUCUGAUUAGCUAGUUGGUAGGGUAAAAGCCUACCAAGGCAUCGAUCAGUAGCUGGUCUGAGAGGACGACCAGCCACACUGGAACUGAGACACGGUCCAGACUCCUACGGGAGGCAGCAGUGGGGAAUUUUGGACAAUGGGCGCAAGCCUGAUCCAGCAAUGCCGCGUGAGUGAAGAAGGCCUUCGGGUUGUAAAGCUCUUUUGUCAGGGAAGAAACGGUGAGAGUCUAAUAUCUCUUGCUAAUGACGGUACUCUGAAGAAUAG
rnacentral:rRNA from 1 species